CUACGGGACGCUGCAGUGAGGAAUAUUGCACAAUGGUGUGAACCCUGAUGCAGCCCCUCCGCGUGGAGGAUGACGCAUUUCGGUGUGUAAACUCCUUUUAUAUGUCAAGAAAAUGACGGUAGCAUAUGAAUAAGCACCGGCUAACUCCGUGCCAGCAGCCGCGGUAAUACGGAGGGUGCAAGCGUUACUCGGAAUCACUGGGCGUAAAGGACGCGUAGGCGGGUUGGAAAGUCAGGUGUGAAAUCCUACAGCUUAACUGUAGAACUGCACUUGAAACUUCUAAUCUAGAGUAUGGGAGGGGGAGAUGGAAUUAGUGGUGUAGGGGUAAAAUCCGUAGAUAUCACUAGGAAUACCUAAAGCGAAGGCGAUCUCCUGGAACAUUACUGACGCUAAGGCGUGAAAGCGUGGGGAGCAAACAGGGUUAGAUACCCCUGUAGUC
rnacentral:rRNA from 1 species